UUCCUUAUUCGAGCUGCACUUCUUCAGUACGGUUGGUGUUUUGGGGAAAAGUGUUCGUCAUUUGGAUAAAAUACCAUUAAAUAAGAAGGAUGCGAAGGUUGUUAUGUUUUGUUUUGUCUUCUCUCAUCUUGCAGUGGUUCUUUCCUCUGCGCCGUGGGCGCGGCUGUGCGGCGGCCCAGUUUCAUUUUGCGGGUUCAGCCACAGCCAUCCUCUAAAGAGUCUAUCUGCUUCUUGGUGCGGUUGAAGGACUCGCAUUCAAAACGAAGAACAUGUUCAGGCAUUAAAAGACGACCACUGAGAACUGUCGGGAUCACCGGCCAAGAACAGAAAUGAGAUUUUCAGACACCGUGUUCUUCAUCUGUAAAGCACAAGAGUGGUUUAAAUUAACAUAUUGAGUUGGUUGGGAAAAUGUUAAAGAGUGUCAGGGUUUGAGGUGAACAUUUGUGCCAGCACUGGAGUAGAUUGGGUCUCAAAUACGCUCCACUGCACAAACUCCACACUUUUAGUUUCAAAUAAAGUUCUUUUACGUCUCGUAUGACAAGAAUUCAGAUCUCAAUAGAUCUUUGAAAUGUCUCUCACAGCCACAUACACAAAAUGAAGCCCAUUGCAUUUGUAUGCUGUAUGCUGAUGUUGGACAGCACGAGCGCGUAAAGUGAGCUCUUGGAAAUCCUGGGUCUUGAUGGCCAACUCGUGUUUGUCACGAACUGACUGCAGUCUUCCUGUAUUUCCGACCAGCAAUUAUGAUUUUUCCCAAAGGAUAUUCAUUUUCUUUUAGAUGUCUCGGAGCUUUAAAAACACAGAGCUUUUGGUCUUAGUGAUCAGGAGCAUUUCGGGUCAUAAAACAGACUGACCCAUGAGAAAAUCGUGCAAACUGCGAGGAUGUUAUCAAAAUGACACCGCUUUACUUUUGUGCAUGCUGAGCAUCAGCCCGCCUCCUUUUACGCACACGGGCGUAAGGGAACACAUGCACGUACGCACGCACAGGCAAACUGAGACACCCCCCUUUUCGAAAGUGGUGUCAAAUGAAAAGUUAAGAUUUUGGCUGAUUUCAAACUGGGGAAAGCAAAAGUAUGUUUUAAGCAGCAGUUAUGAUGCCGAAUGGGCGGGCAAUAGUUUUGACUCAAUGCGCACAGUGUGCUGUCCUAGUUUCGUUGGACAUUUACGUCAAUGAAUGCCCAGAUUCUAUGCAAAUAACCUUUGAAUUUCUUGACAAAGAAAAUUUGCUGCCACACAGAAAUGUUGGUUGUUUUUGUUUAUGAGUCAGAAAAAAUUGUUUUAUUUUUUUACUGUCAACAAUGAUUCCAUCUCUGCAAAUUCUCAAGCUGCGACUCAUAAACAUGAACCAGAUUUCUGCACGUAUAUGAAGCAGAUGUUAACCUGCAAUAUGUCAGAUAUUUUGAUGGCUGCAUAGCCUUUUUGGCUGUUUCAUGCUCUGAAAUCUGCUUCUGUUUUUACAUCCGAAAGAUAAUAUUUGAAUAUUUCACUGUCAUCCAAAUUUUGUCAUUCAAAUCACAUAGGAAAUCUGCACUUUAAAUGGAUUGUUUCCUACAGCAAUGUCUGUCAUUGUGUCACCUGCUUUUCCAGGGUUGUUUGAAUGAGACUCAGGCCGAAUGUGGUGCUACAGAAUUUGAAUCGUGACGCUAAAAAUGCGCGCCAUGUAGCUCUGCGCAACCUUUUUGGAACAUUAUCUCUGUCAUGCUCUCAGUUUUAUUAAGGUGCAGGUAAGCAACUAUGGUAUGGGUAUUCGUGCUUCCCCCUCCCCCAACAAAAGUCCGCAUCAGACAGGCUCUCUUCCCGUCUAGGGUCUGUCUGGAAGGACAUGAUGUCUGGUUGUCAUUUACAGCAAACCAUCAUGGCUUCUCCGCAGGACCCACCUCUGAUUGUUGCUUCCAUGAAAGCUUUUUUUUAAUAGCUCUCUGCGGCAAAUACAAAAUGAUAAACGGGCAACAUACCUGAUUUUGAAGAAAGACAGAGGAAAAAAUUAAACUAAAAAAAGGAUUUUAGCGGAAUUGGCUUUUCAGAAUCACAUAAAAUAAACAAUAACCACUUUAAGUUUUUCAAAUAGAAAUAUAGUUUUAGAAUUUGCAAGAUAUAAAGAAUAAACAUUGUUGCUCUGCACGUGUGCGUGCAGGCACGUUUCACCUAUAAAUGAGAGAUUUGGACCUCUCUCUGCAUCGUUCUCAUUUCCUCCUAAUGUCCGACCUUUGAGAUUUGUGCAACAAUUAGAAACCAUAAAACACCCUUUUCCAUUAGUUGUAGCUUGUUUUCCAAAAAAA